rnacentral:rRNA from 1 species
UACGUAGGGUGCGAGCGUUGUCCGGAAUUAUUGGGCGUAAAGGGCUCGUAGGCGGUCUGUUGCGUCGGUAGUGAAAACUCAGGGCUUAACCCUGAGCCUGCUUCCGAUACGGGCAGACUAGAGGUAUGCAGGGGAGAACGGAAUUCCCGGUGUAGUGGUGGAAUGCGUAGAUAUCGGGAGGAACACCAGUGGCGAAGGCGGUUGCCUGGAGCUUUGCUGACGCUGAUGCGCGAAAGCGUGGGGAGCGAUCCGG